UUUGACCUCAAAUCAGGUAGGACUACCCGCUGAACUUAAGCAUAUCAAUAAGCGGAGGAAAAGAAACUAACAAGGAUUCCCCUAGUAACUGCGAGUGAAGCGGGAAAAGCUCAAAUUUGAAAUCUGGCAGUCUUUUUUUUCUUCUUUGGCUGUCCGAGUUGUAAUCUAGAGAAGUGCUUACCUGCGCUGGUACCGUGUACAAGUCUCCUGGAAUGGAGCAUCACAAAGGGUGAGAAUCCCGUCUUUGACAUGGACUGCCAGUGCAU
rnacentral:rRNA from 1 species